UAAAUAAUUUAUCAAGGAAUAUAUUGUAGCUAAAUUUGGGGACCCAGGCUUUUUUUCUUAGGACAGAUUGCUGGGUCAAAGCAUAGGUUCACUUUUUUGAGACCUUUGAUGUGCAUUGCCAAAUUGCUCUCCAGAAAAUUGUAUCAAUUUAUAUCUCCAUCAGCAGUGUACGAAAGGACCUCUUUAUCCACACUCUACCAAUAUUGGAUGUCCCUUUUCAAAAAGUCUUCCCUUUUGUAGGUUUUGACAGAUAAUCAGGUGGUUUAUUUUCUGAGCAUUCUGGUUUCCCAUAGAUGGACUCGUGCAAUACUACCUGUUUGUUUUUUCUUGGUUUUGAUAACUAGGAGUGACCAGGUAGCCUACAUCCACAGUGAAAUCUUCUACUUCCUGAAGCUCGAAGCUAAAGAUGAUUAGUACAAGUUGGAAAAAGAAAAGGCGGCCUUAGGCAGCCAGCCAUUGAGCCUCUCUAAGUAAAAUUAGAUUGGUUUUAACACCAGGUGAUGUUAAUCUUCACAAUUUUUUUAGAACUCUUAAUUUUUGAGAUCAAUUCUAAAUGAUAUUCUGUCUGGACAGACAGAAGAUUUUCUUAAUUUACUUCUAAUAACUUUUACUCAUUGUGGGCAUACUGUAUACCAGAGACUAUACUAAAUGCUUUACUUAUGGUAUUUACUCCUCACACCAAACCUAUGAUGUGAUUUCUAUUGACCCAAUUUUUAUAGAGUAGGAAAUUAUUCUAAUCACCCAGUGAGAGAACAGAAUGCCUGUCUCUUCUGGGAGAGGCAGCUAGAACCAUGUCCCCUGACUCCUGCCAAGUGUGAGGCUGCUGCUGCCAUGUGGUGCCACCUCUCUCCAAGACCCUGUUUCUUUUCCAUCCUUCCACAUUUCCAGUAAUUCAUAUCCAUCUUUUAGGGACAGUGGAUCCUAGGGAAAAAAAUCAACCAAGAAAAAAUUACAGCAUAUAUUUCUGAUGUCUCCAGACCAAGGCCUACCUCCAUAACAUGUGAGAAAACUGAGGCUUAGAGAAGUGAGGUCAAUUGGGCAACACGUCACAGCCACGUUAAGAUCCAGGCAGGGCUGAGAGAAAGCGGGCAAGAGGAGAGAAAAGACUGAUGCUCACAGCUGCAGCAAGUCCUUGGCUGAGGCUGACCACAUGCUGUUACAGAUUGGCCAAGAGGAGAGAAAGCAAGUCAGCUGCUUCGACACACUUUCUCAGCCAUAGAUCCAAGGACCAUGGCUGUCAUUUAUGUUGGCUUGAACUGCCUGGUGUAGACCUCCCUGAGGGAGAAAGAGCCCACUGAGCAUCCCUUACAGAUGCCUCUCACCCAACCCCAACACGAGGGAGUUGGCGGACUAGUCCUUCUUUCCUGUGACGACUUCUCAGAGAGAUGCUCAACUGGAAGGAGAAAAGCAACAGCUUUCCCUGUAUUUCAGUGCUUAGUCUUAGAUCAGUGGGCCCUAGAGAGAUAGUCUGAUUAUACAGGAAUUUCUGCCUCCUGCCAAUUUAAAAUUUUUAGUAAUUUCAGACUUAAGAUCCUGUGUGUAUGCAGGGGGAACAUAAGUGAUGGGGGUUGGGAGAAGUUAAGAUUUCUUUUAGGAAAUCUAAACUUUGCAGGAGACCUGUGACCAACAGACUUGCACGGGGGAUAUGCUGCUACUUUCUUCUCUUCAACCCUUCUUCCCAGAGGCCUGAUACAGUCAGAGAGAGAAAGAGGGAGAUUGAUAGAGAAGUCAGAAAUAGCUCAUUGGAGUGUGUGAAUAAUACCGAAGAUAUGUGCUAAUCUUUGUGCCAAAAUGAACGUUCUUGCCAUUUAUGUGAAACAGCCAACAAGAGCACCAAAAAAAUUGUUGGACUAGUCUACUUUCUUAGAGACUGAAUUCAAUGGACUAAACACUCUAUUAAAAACUGCAUGCAAAUAGUCUUUAAGACUGAAGGGUAUCUAAAGUUGUUUCUGCAUGACUGUAAAAACAGGUGUGGUGGUAUAGCCCAAGAAGUCCCAGCCCUUACUCUAAAUGGCCACUAAUGUGCUAGGAGAUACUGUUUCUCAGGAUGAAAAGCAUUCCUAGGGAUGACAAACCCAUUUCACCUGCAUACCAGCAUAUUGAUAAAGCUCACUGUAAAUGCAUGGAAAAUUGCCUCUCUGGUCAACCAGAACUCUUCAAUAGGACUAAUAAAUUGUGUGCUGGCUUCCUGUCAUCUGCAUGUUCACACUGACUUCCUAAAAGCUUUCGGUAAUACUUCUCAACAAAAGUUUGAAGAUAUACACAUGAAUAUAAACACAAAUCCUUGAGGCCCUGUGUGUCUGAAGGGAAUAAAGAUAAACUUCAAAUUUCAGAAGUGAAUAAAAAAGAGGACAAAGUUUCUUCUUCCUCUAACCAAAGCUGAAAUCAAAAGUCUAAGAUAAAAAAAAAAAUCUAAGGUAAAGUCAUAUUUUCCAAACUCCCUAUUUUUCAGAAGAGGAAUGCCAGGAUAUAGAGAGGUGGUACAUUUAUCUCUGGGCCCAUUACCCCCUACACACACAUACUCCCCCCUUAAGAUUUGAAAAAGGAAAACAUUUAUCUUAUCAGCUGUUUUUUGGGGGGGAAAAAACCGUGUUUGAUCUGUUUACUUGGAAGCCAGCCUGCUGAGCUCAAGAGUUUGCUAUCAGGCAGACCAGAGUGAAUUCAUUUAGGCUGUUUCUUUCCAGGCCUGGACACCAGGCCCAGCGCUUAUCCUCACUGUCAAGGAGUUCUGUGCACACACUUUAGAAUUUGCUGAGGGAUUGUCAUUGUGCCCUUCAGUUAGGGUUGUAGGUGGAUUGCUGUUUCUCCUGUUAGAGUUCAGAACAAUAAGCAGCUUGGUUAUGAUUGUUGAAAUGUUCAUUUCUUUUCUGAAAAAGCAAGAGUCUAUCCCUCUGCUUCCUUGAG